CCUACGGGAGGCUGCAGUGGGGAAUAUUGCACAAUGGGCGCAAGCCUGAUGCAGCCAUGCCGCGUGUGUGAAGAAGGCCUUCGGGUUGUGAAGCACUUUCAGCGGGGAGGAAGGCGGUGAGGUUAAUAACCUCAUCGAUUGACGUUACCCGCAGAAGAAGCACCGGCUAACUCCGUGCCAGCAGCCGCGGUAAUACGGAGGGUGCAAGCGUUAAUCGGAAUUACUGGGCGUAAAGCGCACGCAGGCGGUCUGUCAAGUCGGAUGUGAAAUCCCCGGGCUCAACCUGGGAACUGCAUUCGAAACUGGCAGGCUAGAGUCCUGUAGAGGGGGGUAGAAUUCCAGGUGUAGCGGUGAAAUGCGUAGAGAUCUGGAGGAAUACCGGUGGCGAAGGCGGCCCCCUGGACAAAGACUGACGCUCAGGUGCGAAAGCGUGGGGAGCAAACAGGAUUAGAUACCCUUGUAGUC
rnacentral:rRNA from 1 species